AGUGAACGCUGGCGGUAGGCCUAACACAUGCAAGUCGAACGGCAGCACAGUAAGAGCUUGCUCUUACGGGUGGCGAGUGGCGGACGGGUGAGGAAUACAUCGGAAUCUACUUUUUCGUGGGGGAUAACGUAGGGAAACUUACGCUAAUACCGCAUACGACCUACGGGUGAAAGCAGGGGAUCUUCGGACCUUGCGCGAUUGAAUGAGCCGAUGUCGGAUUAGCUAGUUGGCGGGGUAAAGGCCCACCAAGGCGACGAUCCGUAGCUGGUCUGAGAGGAUGAUCGGCCACACUGAACCUGAGACACGGUCCAGACUCCUACGGGAGGCAGCGGUGGGAAUUUUUGGACAAUGGGCGCAAGCCUGAUCCAGCCAUACCGGGUGGGUGAAGAAGGCCCUCGGUUUGUAAAGCCCUUUUGUUGGGAAGAAAAGCAGCAGGUUAAUACCCCGCUGUUCUGACGGUACCCAAAGAAUAAGCACCGGCUAACUUCGUG
rnacentral:rRNA from 1 species